rnacentral:tRNA from 1 species
GGCAGUGUAGCUCAGUGGUAGAGCAUUUGCCUAGCCUAUUCAAGGUCCUGAGUCCAAUCCCCAGCACUACCA